AUUGCACGUUUGUGCGACUGACGCUCAUUCAAUCGUCACCUGCCGGUACUACCGAUAUAGCCGCCACAGUCUUGCGAAUAGACCUUAACCGCAAACCAACUGAUCAGUCUUUGUCUCUGUGUAACAAGCCAUUCCAAAAAUAAUUAUUCACAGGAUAUAAACAAAACGCUGUUUGUUUUUUGUAAUAAAAACUUGAAAAAAAUCAUUAAACUUGUAUUGAAAAGAUUCUCAACUGCAAGAAGAUACGUAGUUAACUUGGGUGAUGAGCAAUAUACCGAUGAUGAAGAGAAGGUAUUGAAAUAGGAAAUUAAUAUUAAAUAUAUCUACAUAUUGUGUAACAUGAAGUAAUAAGGAAUAAUAAAUGUUUUAUUGCUGCCAAGAUGGCAAUAAUACAAAUAAUUUGAAUAAUGGCAAUGCUGUUAUUAACAUUCUAGUAUUAUUACUAUGGCUACAUCGAAUUUUUGUGAACUUGAAAUUGUGACGCAUGAAGAUGAGUGAACUGAGAUAGAUAAAGAAACUCUCAACGAAAAGCUUGUUAUCAACCCAGUCAAUAAACACAGAGAAAGAGCUGAAAAUUUGAAUAGACGGGUUGAGAAUUACAGAGAAAAAAGUGCAAUAGCUGAUCAUCACAAUUUUACAUCAGAUAAUGAAAUGACGAACUCUUUAUCCUCACCGUCAUUACAUUAUGGCACUGACGAUUCAGAUAGGGAGAUUGUUAUUGAUCCCGUGGCUCCUAAAGAAACGUCAAAGAAAAAAAAAAAAUACUAAAUCAGUUGCGUCAACUCCCCCCGAGUCUUCUACUGGUGAUCCAAAAAGCGUUACAGUCGACAACGAAAAUUCAGUACAAAUAUUGCCUGAUUUCUUCUUUGAUAAAAAAUGGUACGAGAAAGCUAAAGCCGCAUUUGAGAUAGAAACCCGGUUAACAAAUAUAAUGAACGGCUAUUGGACCGAUAAAGAAGCUUCAAAACUUUGCUUAAAAGUUAGAGCAGACCGCCCGUACUUAAACGCGGUACCAGAAAAGGAUCUCGAUAAUAUAAAAGUGCAGGAAUUUUCUUGGAGGACGAUUGGUUGUUCAACGAAGCUAUCGACGGCCUCGUUGAAGGAAUCAUAAAUGGUGGCAGAUCUACGAAGCCGGAGAAUGAUUCACCUGCUGGUCCAUCUCCCGAUAACCAUAUUUUUGAUCAGCCACCGCUGUACCGGUGCCAGUUCAAACCCUGUCAAAAGGUGUUUGUACAUCGGAUUUCUUGGCGUCGCCACUGCAUAAAGAGAAGAAGAAACGAUUAUUGGUCCAUUCCUGUAAACCAUCCCAAAAAAAAAGGAAAAAAAAAUCCCAUUUCUGCAUUGAUCCUAAAAAAUUCAAUGACCAACAUGUAAGAACAUUAAAAUUUUAGUGAUUAUUAGCCUUCAAACCCAAACGGCCCUUUUCAGGGCCACCAAAUAUUUUAAAACGUAUGAAACUAUUCACGUAAAAUUAAUUUUACUUUAAUAUCAUCAUUGCUAUCAUUAUUAUUAUUAUUAUAAUUAUGAUUAUUCAUUGUUCAUUACAUUAAUUUUUUCCAGCUUGAAAUACACAGAAAGAAAAUUCCACUAAAAUUUAAUAUGUUAACAUCGUAAUUGUGGACUAUAAUUUCAGUAGCAUCGAUUCU